rnacentral:rRNA from 1 species
UACGUAGGGGGCAAGCGUUGUCCGGAAUCAUUGGGCGUAAAGCGCGCGUGGGCGGCCCGGUAAGUCCGCUCUGAAAGUCCAGGGCUCAACCCUGGAAGCGGGUGGAUACUGCCGGGCUAGAAUCCGGAAGAGGCGAGUGGAAUUCCUGGUGUAGCGGUGAAAUGCGCAGAUAUCAGGAGGAACACCGGUGGCGAAGGCGGGUCUCUGGGCCGAUACUGACGCUGAGGAGCGAAAGCGUGGGGAGCGAACAGG